AGACGGCUCAUUGACACGUGGUUCACUUACCCUCUGGUGGGGCAUAACCUUGGGAAACUGAAAAUAAUUCCCCAUAAGAAAAGCGGUCUGGAACGAUUCUUUUCUGAAUGUUUAUGCUGCCUAUGAUAGGACUGCGCUCGAUUAUGUAUUUGGUGGGGUAAUGGCCCACCAAGCCUACCAUCGAUACUGGCCUUGAGAGAGGGAGCCCGGACAUGGGGACUGAGACUCGGUCCCAGGCCCUAUCGGGCGCACCACGGGCGAAACCUCCGCAAUGCACUUUGUGCGACGGGGGAACCCCUAGUGCCACUCUUAACGGGGUGGCUUUUCAGAAAUGUAAAAAGCUUCUGGAAUAAGGGCUGGGCAAGACCGGUGCCAGCCACCGCGGUAACACCGGCCGCUCAUGUGGUAGCCUCUUUUAUUGGGCCUAAUUCGUCCGUAUCCGGUCUGAUAAGUCUCUGGUGAAAUCCCACAGCUUAACUGUGGGAAUAGCUGGAUAUACUAUCAUGACUCGAGGUCGGGAUAGGCUGGAGGUACUCCCAGGGUAAGGGUGAAAUCCUGUAAUCCUGGGAGGACCAUCUGUGGCGAAAGCGCCCCGCUGGAACUCGUCCUACAGUGAGGGACAAAGGGCAGGGCAACAGACCGGAUUACAUACCCGGGUAGUCCUGCCUGUAAACGAUGCAGGCUACGUGUCGAGUGAUGCUUCUAGCUUAGCCCGGUGCCUUAGGGAAUGCCGUUAAGCCCGCCGCCUGGCUAGUACCG
rnacentral:rRNA from 1 species